UCUGUAGAAUCCCUCAGAGCACAGCUCCUUAAAAUGGAUUGGGCCUGGAGGAUCCUAUUCUUGGUGGCAGCUCUGAAAAGUGCCCAUGGUGAGGUGCAGCUGGUGCAGUCUGGACCUGAACUGAAGAUGCCUGGAACCUCAGUGAAGGUCACCUGCAAGGCUUCUGGUUAUACAUUCACAAGCUACAAUAUAAACUGGGUGCGACAGAGCCCUGGACAAGGAUUAGAGUGGAUUGGCUGGGUCUAUCCUGGUAAUGGCAAUGCUGGAUAUGAUCCAAAGUUCCAAGGCAGAGCUGUCCUCACCACUGACAAGUCUUCCAGCACAGCCUACAUGGAACUGAGAAGUUUGAAGUCUGAGGACACGGCUGUGUAUUACUGUGUGAGAUACACAGUGUGGUGA